UACGGGGGGGGCAAGCGUUGUUCGGAAUUACUGGGCGUAAAGGGCUCGUAGGCGGCCAACUAAGUCAGACGUGAAAUCCCUCGGCUUAACCGGGGAACUGCGUCUGAUACUGGAUGGCUUGAGUUUGGGAGAGGGAUGCGGAAUUCCAGGUGUAGCGGUGAAAUGCGCAGAUAUCAGGAGGAACACCGGUGGCGAAGGCGGGUCUCUGGGCCGAUACUGACGCUAAGGCGCGAAAGCGUGGGGAGCGAACAGG
rnacentral:rRNA from 1 species